AUUGAACGCUGGCGGCAUGAUUUACACAUGCAAGUCGAACGGUAACAGGCCGCAAGGUGCUGACGAGUGGCGAACGGGUGAGUAAUGCAUCGGAACGUGCCCAGUCGUGGGGGAUAACUACUCGAAAGAGUAGCUAAUACCGCAUACGAUCUAUGGAUGAAAGCGGGGGACCGUAAGGCCUCGCGCGAUUGGAGCGGCCGAUGUCAGAUUAGGUAGUUGGUGGGGAAAAGGCUCACCAAGCCAACGAUCUGUAGCUGGUCUGAGAGGACGACCAGCCACACUGGGACUGAGACACGGCCCAGACUCCUACGGGAGGCAGCAGUGGGGAAUUUUGGACAAUGGGCGCAAGCCUGAUCCAGCAAUGCCGCGUGCAGGAAGAAGGCCUUCGGGUUGUAAACUGCUUUUGUACGGAACGAAACGGCUCUGGUUAAUACCCGGGGCUAAUGACGGUACCGUAAGAAUAAGCACCGGCUAACUACGUG
rnacentral:rRNA from 1 species